UCGCGCAGUGUGUGUACAAACACAAAAGACACGCUGGGGGUGUGGGGGCCGCCGGCUCCCGCAGAGACGGCCGUCCGCCCCCGUCUCACCCACGCCCCAGUACUCUCACCCCGCUCCACGCGCACACGUCAUCAAACCCCCGAAGCCCAGGAUAUCCAGUCUGUCCUGGGAGAAGAGCCUGCUUCCUAGCUCCACAUUCAGCAAUGUAUCCCGGGUGAUGCAGUGGAAAACAAACCAGAUGCUUACUGUUACUGUUUUCUGGUUUCCCUUUCUUUCUCUCUCUCACUGCUUUUACAUCCAUUUCAAAUUAAGUUUUAAUAAAAAGGCAUUGCUAAAUAUCCUGAA